AGUUGCCGUUUUUGCAAUCUCUUACAUGUAACAUAUUACAUGUAAUCCGUUACUCCCCAACCCUGAAUAUGGUUUGAAAAAAACUACAACUACUGAGCAAUUUGGAAAGAUUUGUUUUUCCAGGAGUGGUUUUCUCUUUGAAGAUACAAGGAAGUUUGAGCAUCUGUAUAAUCGUCGGCAAGGAAACGAGACGCUGCACAGCAAAGGAAAAUCUUGCGCAGGAGAGCAUACAUACAUACCUCUCACGUCAAUCAUGAUUAGUUCGUGAAAUAGUCAGAAACUGUUACAUACUUUCCCGCGGAUUGAAGUAACGCUAUAUAGUGACACAAGUUUGAAGUUUUAGUGACAAGGAAUUGUCAGGAUGAAACAUGUCUGUCGAGGAGAAUAUUCCCCCCUUUUAGGAGGAUGACAGAGUAAAGUUUAUAAAAACAAACGUUUUGUCGGAUUUUGGAAGUGAGGCAGGAAACCUGGGAGAAGAAGUGUGUUACAGUCGAGGAAAGCCAGACCGUUCUGAAAGGUGUCUUCGAAAAGCAAGGUAUUGUUUUUGACUCUACCGUCGACUGGUGCUCCCCGAGUGCAGUGUGGAGGUCUGGACAAUGACCAAGUGGAGGGAGAUAAACAUGGACCAGAUGGGCGCAGAGCUCAGGAGGUUUGUCAAGAUACCUUGUAACUGGCGAUUCCUUCAAAAUGAUUGCUUACAGUUACUGUGCAAGGUUGGGUGACCAGGGCCAUCUGGGACUGCCUCCUGGAGGAAUUCAGGUGUGUGAAGGCUACCUGUGUUCUGCAUAACUUCAUGAGGAUAGACACAAGGACCAGGAGGGGAUCUGCAGCUUCCGCUGUGUGUCAGAGGAGAAGUCUGCUGUUCUGCAGGAUGUUUCAAAGAUGGGGUCCAACAACCAGCAAGAGAGGCAAUCCAUGUGCGGGAGAUCUGCACCUCCUACUUCUUAGACGAGGUUGCUGUUCCCUGGCAACACCAUAGACUACACUAUGCACAACCAAAGGCUCUUUUAAGAGCCAUUCACAUUGCAAAAUUAAUAUUCUUCCAUUUACUUGGCUAUGUCAACUGCAGUUAUUAAAAUCCCAGUUUCUCUCCCUUUCUACUUAUCAGGUAAGGGUUUGACGUCUGUACAAAAACAAAAACAGGCUAUUUUAAAUCACCCAUAUUGAAAAAAUGUACAACAAUUAGACACCCUAUAACCCACACACUCAUGUAUAAAUCUGAUUGACGGAUUGUGUUGUGCAGUAAGCAGGCUCGGGUGUAUAACUGUGGCUCCUUCCACCUUCAAAGAAUAGGCAAGAGGGCCAACCAUGGAGAAUAGGCAAGAGGGCCAACCAUGGAGAAUAGUACGACACCUCAUUAUUUCUGUAACUACUCUGCAUUGUUUGUCCGUUCAUGUUUUUCAGCAUAAAGUGCUCUGCAGACACUUUCCCUUUGUCUUUUACACCUCUCUAACUGCCCCCUCUUUCCUCCACUGUUGUAUAAUGCACAACAGAUGUGCAUGGAAGUACAGGUUGAACUUGUAUUUAUAAUGCUUGUAUUUAUAACAUUUGGAUAAUUAACUUCCUUCAAUAAAGCGUUUCAUAUUC